rnacentral:rRNA from 1 species
CAGAAUAAGCACCGGCUAACUCCGUGCCAGCAGCCGCGGUAAUACGGAGGGUGCAAGCGUUAAUCGGAAUUACUGGGCGUAAAGCGCGCGNAGGCGGUUUGUUAAGUCAGAUGUGAAAUCCCCGGGCUCAACCUGGGAACUGCAUUUGAAACUGGCGNGCUAGAGUNUGGUAGAGGGGGGUGGAAUUCCNGGUGUAGCGGUGAAAUGCGUAGANAUCNGGAGGAACACCGGUGGCGAAGGCGGCCCCCUGGACNUGANACUGACGCUNAGGUGCGAAAGCGUGGGGAGCAAACAGGAUU